rnacentral:rRNA from 1 species
CCCUUAGAUGUCCUGGGCCGCACGCGCGUUACACUGAUGCAUUCAACGAGCUUAUAACCUUGGCCGAGAGGCCUGGGCAAUCUUGUUAACGUGCAUCGUGAUAGGGAUAGAUUAUUGAAAUUAUUAAUCUUGAACGAGGAAUUCCUAGUAAACGCAGAUCAUCAAUCUGCAUUGAUUACGUCCCUGCCCUUUGUACACACCGCCCGUCGCACCUACCGAUUGGAUGGCUUAGUGAGACCCUCGGACCGAUAGGCUGUCGCUGCAGCAAUGUGGCGACUGGCCCGUCUGGGAAGAAGGUCAAACUUGACUGUCUAGAGGAAGUAAAAGUCGUAACA